GCGUGAGUGAUGAAGGCCCUAGGGUUGUAAAGCUCUUUCAGCGGGGAAGAUAAUGACGGUACCCGCAGAAGAAGCCCCGGCUAACUUCGUGCCAGCAGCCGCGGUAAUACGAAGGGGGCUAGCGUUGCUCGGAAUUACUGGGCGUAAAGCGCACGUAGGCGGACUUUUAAGUCGGGGGUGAAAUCCCGGAGCUCAACUCCGGAACUGCCUUCGAAACUGGAAGUCUUGAGUUCGGGAGAGGUGAGUGGAACUGCGAGUGUAGAGGUGAAAUUCGU
rnacentral:rRNA from 1 species